GGCGCGGUUUAUCAAGAGGCUUAAAAUCUCUCGAAGGAAACUUCGUGCCGGUUCGAUUCCGGCCCCGAGCACCA
rnacentral:tRNA from 1 species